rnacentral:lncRNA from 1 species
AGUGCGCGACGGCGGCGGCGGCGCGGGAGGUUCGGAGCGGGAGCUCGGGCUCGCGGACGGUAUGGAGGACUACGAGCAGGAGCUGUGCGGCGUCGAGGAUGAUUUCCACAACCAGUUCGCGGCCGAGCUGGAGGGGCGUCGACUCCGUCGCCCUCCGGGGUCCCCCUGUUCACCGCGGGCCGACCCCCGCGGACGUUCGAGGAGGCCCUUGCCAGAGGGGACGCGGCCUCCAGUCCCGCCCCAGCCGCAUCUGUGGGCAGCAGCCAGGGCGGCGCCAGGAAGAGGCAGGUGGACGCCGACCUGCAGCCGGCCGGGUCCCUGCCCCACGCCCCCAGGAUCAAACGGCCUAGGCUGCAGGUGGUCAAGAGGCUGAACUUCAGAUCGGAGGAGAUGGAGGAGCCGCCCCCUCCCGACUCCUCGCCGACGGACAUCACCCCGCCGCCGAGCCCUGAGGACCUCGCAGAGCUUUGGGGCCACGGAGUCUCAGAAGCUGCUGCCGACGUGGGUCUCACACGGGCCUCACCAGCUGCCCGCAAUCCCGUCCUGAGGCGGCCCCCCAUCUUGGAGGA